rnacentral:lncRNA from 1 species
GAGAUGCUAUUUCCAAAUAGACCCCCGACAUCCUUCCCUCCAAGAACUUCCCACCUUGCUCUUGGAAGAUUUGAACUCACAACCUCUCGAUUGAAAAUAAAGAUUGCUUACCAUCAAAGCAACCCUCUUGCCUCGACCUAUGAAAAUGAGCACAUAUUGUUGAACGGAAUCUUUAAAAUUGUUAAGAGGGUGAGGGGGUACACACAACUUUAAAGAGUGAUUAGUGGUCCAUGCUUCUUGUCUGAUUGCAUUUAUGAACUGGACCUGGUAGCCCCCAAACCCUCCCACAUAAAUUAAACGCAUCAAACAAAACAAAAACCAAGGAGGACAAUUUUAUACAAGCAUUAAAAGGAGAAAUUAGAAACAAAAUUGUAUCCCAGGGUGUGUCUCCAUCAACCGCCUUGAGAGGGCUAACUGAAAUUGUUAAGCUAUUAGGUGGGGGUCCGAAUGUUAGCAAUAAAAUAAUACUUUUUCCGUUUCAAUUUAUAUAAAUCUAUUUGAUUGAAUAUGUAAUUUAAGAAAAAAAUUAAAUACUUUUAGAAUAUAUGGUUCUAAACAAGUUGAAAAGGGACACAAAAAUAUUUUUAUGAUUCUAAAAGCAUCUUACUAAAAAUAAAAUUAUAAAUUUAAGUUAAAUUGUUACUAAAUUUAAAAGGGGAUCAUUCCUUUUAGAACGGACUAAAAAAGAAACAGAGGAAAUAUCCUCCUUUCCCUUUCCCCUUUUCCCUUUUCCCUUUUCUUCCUUAUGUAAUUAAAGAAACGGCUAUUAGAGUCUAAGGUUCAAAUCCUAACAGACAUAAUAUACAACGUAGCACGAUUUCUUCUCGUAAGAUACUAAUAGGUUUUUAAUUUAAAAAGAUAAUUUGGAAACAAAUUUCUCUCGUAAAUUUGAGUUCACUAACAUUUGAAGCUAUAUAUAGGUAUGUUCACAUUGUUGCUUUUUGUUUUCUUUUAAUUUCACCUUUCAUUAUUAUUAAAUAAUUUUAUUUUAUUAUUUAUUCUACUUUUUAAUAAUAUUUUAUCUAUAUCAUAAUUUUACUUUAUAAUAUUGCAAAUUUAAUCUUGAUAUUACUAGUAUAUGAUAUUAUGAAAUAAUAAUAAAUGACAGAAUCUAUUUAAAUAUUAUAUUUAUAAAAAAAUAUAUUAUAAUGAUAGAUUAUAAAAUGAUACCUAACAAUCAACCAGAAAAGCUGUUAGUUAAACCUCCUAAAAGUAUGUUAUACAUAAGGAAUAGAAACUAUCAAGAUUUUUAGUCCAUAUAAGAGGACAGAGGUGGAGGAUGGGGGAUGUUAUGGGUUUCCAUUCAAGUGGCUGAAAGGCCAGUUUUUGAGGUAAAAUGAGAAAAGUGAAGAGAAGAAUCUUAUGCCCCUUUUAACUUGUUAGUAGGAUUCAGUUUUCUUCUUUCUUUCCUGGGCCCACGUCUCGGAAUUUGUUAAAAGUCAAAAAAUACGAAUGCCUAUUCACCAACGAGUUUAUUCGAACAAAAAUUACUCAAAUUCGAUGUUAAAAUCUAAAUCAAAACUCAAAAUUCGGUUGAAGAGCUUUCUCUUUUUCCUAAUUUUCUCAACCCAAACCCGAAAUUAAAAGGAUGGAAUUAACGAUAGAUUAGUGGAAUAUAAUAAAAAAACAAGUGAAGAAUCAUUACCCGAUCGAUGCCUCUGAAAAAUCCUAAAAAUGUCAUCAAAAUCCGAGCUCUCUAUCUCAAGUUUUGAUAAAAAUGGGAAAAUCCUCGUUUUUGAAAAGUUAUAGAAUAAAGUAAAAAGUUUCUAAUUAUUAGAUAAAAAUGGGAAAAUCCUCGUUUUUGAAAAGUUAUAGUCUGCCCAGAUGCUCACACUACGCGAUCACAAAAAUACCCACGCAAUCAUGUAGAACAAAAAUCCAACAACUUAAAUGCAUUCCUUAUCGCAUACCAAUGAAUGCUUAAACCUACGCGAUCACGUCCAUCCUCACGCGACCAAAGAACAACAAUGUGUACUCCAUUGCCAUCUCACUUCCUCUUCGCAAGUGCGGCCUAGCCCACGCGUUUGCGCUGCACAGCCUGACCAACUUACACGAUUGCAUACCCUAACUCGCGAACGCAUAGGGUAAAAAUACCAGUGCCCCUAGACAAGCUUACGCUAUCGUUUCCCCUCUCACGCGAUCACAUAAGAGGAAACCAGCAACAGAAAGCACUAACAAUUUCAGCAAUUUCAACAAGUCCAAAACUAGUCCACUAGCAACCAAGAAUCUAUCCGAGGCCCUCGGCACCUCAACCAAACAUAGAAACAAGUUCUAAAAUACCAUACGAAUUUAAUCGAUCCCUUAAAUCGUAUCAAAUAACAACAAAAACACGAAUCACACUCCAAUCUAAACUUAAUGAACAUUGAAACUUCAAACAUCUACAAUUGAUGCCGAAACCUAUCAAAUCGCAUUUGAGUGACCUCAAAUUUGGUACACUAGCUAUAAUUGACAUUCAGACCUGCUCCAUCUUCCAGAAUCGGAAUCCGACCCAGAUAUAAAAAAUCUCACUUCCGUUCAAACUUUCCAAAAAUUCAACUUUCACCAUUUCAAGCCCAAGUCAGCUACAAACCUCCAAUUCACAAUCCAUACGCGCUCCUAAGUCCAAAUCACCCAACACAGCUAAUAAAACCAACGAAACUCCAUUCUGGAGUCGCCUUCACAUAGUUACAACUAUGGUAAAACUCUUAGAACUUAACCUUUCGUUUUAGGGGCUAAGUAUCCUAAUCACUCCGAAACCACAAAAAAAACUUUCGACAAGUCACAUAAGCAGAAAAAGAUACGAGGAAAGAAGUAAAUAAGGGAUCGAGGCUCAUACUCUCAAAAUAACCGGCCGGAUCAUUACAUUGUCACCAUCAAAAAGGGGGAACUAUUGAGUAUUGAGAUUUUGAUGAUUAACAAAGUUUGUUCAAUUCAAAUAUUCUAAGAACUAGGUCCUCAAUGUAGCUGUUGAACUGCUCUAAGAACUAGCUCUUCAGGGUUAAGGACCAUCUCCUCAAGGUUGAUAAUUAUACGUCUUUAUAAGACAGUAACUUUAUCUCAAAAUUAUCCAGGCCUGAGUUUGUUAGAAGAAGACUGCUAAAUAUGAUAAGGGGUGUUGACCAAGAAGAUACACAUGCAUAAGUGAGAGACAAGAGUCCAAAGACUUUUGGAGUCCUUGGAUCAGUAGGACUCCUAUCAAACAAGAAGACUACUGGCGCAUAGGACUCCUAAAAGAUCUCGAAGUCCAUGGAAUUUAAAUACUACCAUUUUGGACUGCGGAGAUUAUCUUUUUAGACAUCAACUGAAGAACUAUAUUUUCUACACUAAAGUUGAGUACUUAGUGUUGAGUUCCUCUAGCACUACAAGAAAAACAACCUUUAAGGGCGGGAAAUCUGGUCCCUAAAAUGCCAAAUCUGGUCCCUAAAAGAGAAAUAACGACGGGCAAAAGCUACUCGCAACCCAUCGUAAUAGCUUUCGCUGCUAAAAGUCAAUAAUUAAGGGUCCAAAAAUCUAGUCGUUACUUGAUUUAUAGACGGAAAAAAAUUUUGAAUCCUGUGCAUUUUGAAUCCUGUGCAUUUUGAAUCGAUUGUAUUUUGAAUUUAUGCUAAGAGUUGUAUUUGAAAUUCUAACUAGCAACUCUCCAGGAGUUUCAGACACAAUACGUGUAUGUUUGAUUCUAAUCAUCCCAUUUACCUUUCCCUUCCUUCCAUGUAAUAAAAAAAUAUUUUAAAGGUAAAAAAAAGAACGAAAAUCCUCUGUUUGAUAGUGUUUAUAACAAUAACACCAUACAAGAAAUGGUUACAAAUGGCAGCUCCUGUCUACUUACUUUAGUUUUUUCAAUAGCAUAGGUUCUUUCCUUACAUGCUAUCAACUCAUGAAAUUCAACACUCACGACAAAAUACACUAAAUGGUUAUAAAGGAACAAAUAGUAAACCACAAGGCAUAUGCACCAGCAGUACCUUUAUUAUCUUUAGUCACACACACUUCUUAAGAUACCAAAAUAUAUUAUAUGCUAAAAGUUCUUGGUUUUUACAAACACAAACCAGACAAAUAUAAAUGCAAGACUGACUUAGUUUGAAUGCUUACAAAUUUUAAGAACUCUAUAAAAGGCCAAUCCAAGUAAAUUCAAAAGAUCUUUUCUAGCAUCACAUACGCAGUUAAAAGUGUUAAAAGUUAUUAAAACAAAGGGAAAAUACUUGGCUUUUUUAUAUCAGGUUCAAGUAUUCCAUUUCUUGCAUUUUUGUUCCUUUAUAUCGAGUUAAAAAUUAGAAAGAUUGAGGUUUCUACAUAUUACCCUCCCCAGACCCCACCUGGUGGGAAUAUACUGGGUAGUUGUUGUUGUUGUUGUUGUUGUAUAUCGAGUUAAAAAUUAGAAAGAUUGAGGUUUCUUCUACAUUCUAUCUGCGACUCAGGUGGACUUGGGCUUCUUCUGAUGUCUUAGUUCAUGCCAACAUUCUUCUUAAGGAAGAACAAGUUGACAAUGAUUGCUUUAUUUAACUGAGUGAGAAGUAACUGUUAUAAAUCAUAAUGCUGCAGAAGUUCAUCUACUUUGAACCAUCAAUGAAGCACAACUGAUAAUACUAAUUGAGAUAUGGAUCCUACAUCAAAUCACAGAAUAGAUAAAUUUAUCAGCAAUACCAAGUGCCAAUGUCAUGUUUUAACACUACAAUAGAACUUAGAUGACAAUUUUCUCAAUUUUGAAAUCUAAGCCAGCAAUCAUACCUCGUAAUCUGUUAUAAAAUUUUGCUCUUACUAAAAAUAAAAAUAAAGAGCACAAAAAAAUUUUAGCAGAAGACUUAAAAGCUGAGCAAAACUUUCUAUAUAGUAUGUUCAAUCAGUUAACAUUCUCAUAUCAUUAUACAGGUAAUAUACUUUAUAAUAUUGCAAAUUUAAUCUUGAUAUUACUAGUAUAUGAUAUCAUGAAAUAAUAAUAAAUGACAGAAUCUAUUUAAAUAUUAUAUUUAUAAAAAAAUAUAUUAUAAUGAUAGAUUAUAAAAUGAUAGGUAACAAUCAACCAGAAAAGCUGUCAGUUAAACCUCCUAAAAGUAUGUUAUACAUAAGGAAUAGAAACUAUCAAGAUUUUUAGUCCAUAUAAGAGGACAGAGGUGGAGGAUGGGGGAUGUUAUGGGUUUCCAUUCAAGUGGCUGAAAGGCCAGUUUUUGAGGUAAAAUGAGAAAAGUGAAGAGAAGAAUCUUAUGCCCCUUUUAACUUGUUAGUAGGAUUCAGUUUUCUUCUUUCUUUUAGUGGGGACUAGUACUCCUGUUGUCCACUUUAUUUUUCUACAUACUGCUACUACUAUACUCUGUCCCCCACCCUCUUUUCCUCUGUCUUAUUGUUAAAUAAAUGCUUUUUUCAGCUACCAGUAUGAUUUAUGAACAACAAAAAUAGUGUAUAGUUAUCUAUCUGCUUUCCUUUCUGACGUCCCACCACUUCUUUUCUCUCUCUCUCUAAUGAUCUUAUCUCCAUCUUUUUCUGUUAUCUCUUAUUCUUUCCCUCACCAUAUUUAGUAAAAACUAAAAUACCUUCAGCUCUGUCUGUCGUGAUGUCACUACUACUACUCUAGCUCAACCCUCUAAGUUUAAGGUAUGCUAUUCCACUUCUUUUUCCACCUCUCUUUCUUGAAAAUGAUCCAACGCGUCUAAUUGUUUUGGGUUUUAUAUCAAUAGUAUUAGUUAUUUUGAGCUUAUUAUAUGUAUUCGAUUAGAUCCAACCAAAAGGAAAACAAACUUGGUUGGAUUGAACAAGUCAAUUCAGACAGUAAAGUUUCUGCAUGUUAAUCUCUGAAAUUUCCUAAGCCUUUCUGAAGAUAUCUAUUCAAGAAUAUAAUGUUUUAGAUUCUUUCUUGUAUUAUCAAUUAGUCUAUUGUUUUUAGCAAAUAACUGUAGAAAUUUUCUUUCUUCUAAUUGGAUUUACAUUUAGCAUCAAAAGAGAAUAAUCUAGUGAAAUUAUGUGCUCCUGUUGCUUCUUUGCUCUUCUUCCCAGUAUUUUUUUUUUUUUUUUGUAAAAAUUAAAUGAGACAAAUUUUAAAAAAAAAACAAAGAAAAGAAAAGCUCCAAGAAUGCCAUCAUAAUUUAGACCUGAUCUCAUUAGUCAACACAAAUUCUGGGAUGUCGUGUUUUAUUCUUGUGCCUGCACUACACCUCGAACUUGGCUUAAACCUCCAAGAACAUCAGGAGUUGUUAUUCUUAAAACAACAAAUUUACGAAUUGUUGUCUAUCUAAUUUCUUGAGUAACACAAAGCAAGUGGAUAUAGUGUAGCAUAGUGAUUCUUUUUCAUUGAGUUGUUUUGUUUGUCCGAGCACGGAACAACAACAACAACCCAAUAUAAUCCCACUUAGUGGGGUCUGGGGAGGGUAGUGUGUACGCNNNNNNNNNNNNNNNNNNNNNNNNNNNNNNNNNNNNNNNNNNNNNNNNNNNNNNNNNNNNNNNNNNNNNNNNNNNNNNNNNNNNNNNNNNNNNNNNNNNNNNNNNNNNNNNNNNNNNNNNNNNNNNNNNNNNNNNNNNNNNNNNNNNNNNNNNNNNNNNNNNNNNNNNNNNAUCCUUCCCUCCAAGAACUUCCCACCUUGCUCUUGGGGAGACUCGAACUCACAACCUCUUGGUUGGAAGUGGAGGUUGCUUACCAUUAGAGCAACCCUCUUGUCUACAAUCCAGAAUACCAGAACGGAACCUGAUCACGUUAUAUAUAAUCCAGAAUACCUUGCAAAUACUCUCUUGUAUGUAACUAACUCCACUCAGACUAAUGUGUGAUAUGAUCAAACGUAAUC